rnacentral:tRNA from 1 species
AUUUUUAUAGUGUAUUUAACACAUAACAUUUUCAUUGUUAAAAAGUCUUUUCCUUAAAAUA